rnacentral:rRNA from 1 species
CAAUAGCGUAUAUUUAAGUUGUUGCAGUUAAAAAGCUCGUAGUUGGAUUUCGGGUGGGACGCAGCGGUCUCGCAUUGCGUUUGUACUGCUGCAGCCCUCCUUCUUGCCGGGGGCGGCCUCUCGGACUUCACUGUCUGUGGGUCAGAAUCGGCGAUGUUACUUUGAGUAAAUUAGAGUGUUCAAAGCAAGCUUACGCUCUGAAUAUAAUAGCAUGGGAUAACACGACAGGACUCUGGCCUAUCGUGUUGGUCUAUAGGACCAGAGUAAUGAUUAAGAGGGACAGUCGGGGGCAUUCGUAUUCCGUUGUCAGAGGUGAAAUUCUUGGAUUUACGGAAGACGAACAUCUGCGAAAGCAUUUGCCAAGGAUGUUUUCAUUGA